rnacentral:rRNA from 1 species
CCGAUGGCGACCGGCGCACGGGUGAGUAACACGUAUCCAACCUGCCGUCUACUCUUGGACAGCCUUCUGAAAGGAAGAUUAAUACAAGAUGGCAUCAUGAGUCCGCAUGUUCACAUGAUUAAAGGUAUUCCGGUAGACGAUGGGGAUGCGUUCCAUUAGAUAGUAGGCGGGGUAACGGCCCACCUAGUCUUCGAUGGAUAGGGGUUCUGAGAGGAAGGUCCCCCACAUUGGAACUGAGACACGGUCCAAACUCCUACGGGAGGCAGCAGUGAGGAAUAUUGGUCAAUGGGCGAGAGCCUGAACCAGCCAAGUAGCGUGAAGGAUGGCUGCCCUAUGGGUUGUAAACUUCUUUUAUAAAGGAAUAAAGUCGGGUAUGCAUACCCGUUUGCAUGUACUUUAUGAAUAAGGAUCGGCUAACUCCGUGCCAGCAGCCGCGGUAAUACGGAGGAUCCGAGCGUUAUCCGGAUUUAUUGGGUUUAAAGGGAGCGUAGAUGGAUGUUUAAGUCAGUUGUGAAAGUUUGCGGCUCAACCGUAAAAUUGCAGUUGAUACUGGAUAUCUUGAGUGCAGUUGAGGCAGGCGGAAUUCGUGGUG